UACAGAGGGGGCAAGCGUUGUUCGGAAUUACUGGGCGUAAAGGGCGCGUAGGCGGCCUGCUAAGUCAUACGUGAAAUCCCUCGGCUCAACCGGGGAACUGCGUGUGAUACUGGCGGGCUUGAAUUCGGGAGAGGGAUGCGGAAUUCCAGGUGUAGCGGUGAAAUGCGUAGAUAUCUGGAGGAACACCGGUGGCGAAGGCGGCAUCCUGGACCGAGAUUGACGCUGAGGCGCGAAAGCUGGGGGAGCAAAC
rnacentral:rRNA from 1 species